CCUCUCUAGAAGAAUAUGGAAGUACACGUUCAUAAACAAAGUACUCAAGCUUCUCAUACAUCUUGAUCCAGGUGUAUUUGAAGCUCUCACAAAAAGAUCCAUAAAAUCAAUGGAGAGAGUUGAUCUCGGAGAAAUUUUGAAGCUUGUAAAUUGCCACAGUAUUACCUAUGCUACUGCAAGGAGACUAGGAUUACCUCGAGAAGAAGAAUUUUGGUGUAGAGGAAUCAAUGCGUGUGCUAUUGUUUAAAGGCCAGGUCCUUGCUGUGGUUGGGGGAGAUUGCUUUCAUGUGAAACAAGGAUUUCAGGAAAGAGCUACUAGUUCUUGAGGACUUGGUGCUAGAACACAUAGUAUGAUAAGUUUUAGCUAUAAGAUAGUUGGUACUUUUAAUUUUUUUCAAUUUUGAAUCGAAUAUGAAAUGAUGAUGUAUACUUGAUACUUGGUUCAUUUUGAUGAUAAUGUAUGAAUAUUUUGGAUAA